CUCUGGGUAUUUUGGGGAGCUGUCAGCUGUAGCAGACCCACUUCCUAGCCACGGAAGAGCAUGUUCUUGCUUAUGGCAAAGCUGUCGCCAGCUGAUUGGUAUCCGAUUCUGAUUUGCAUAGGGUAACAUUC